UGGGGAAUUUUGGACAAUGGGCGAAAGCCUGAUCCAGCCAUGCCGCGUGAGUGAAGAAGGCCUUCGGGUUGUAAAGCUCUUUCGGCGGGGACGAAAUGGCGCGGGCUAACAUCCCGCGUUGAUGACGGUACCCGAAGAAGAAGGACCGGCUAACUACGUGCCAGCAGCCGCGGUAAUACGUAGGGUCCAAGCGUUAAUCGGAUUUACUGGGCGUAAAGGGCGCGUAGGCGGCAAUUCAAGUCAUCUGUGAAAUCUCCGGGCUUAACUCGGAACGGUCAGAUGAUACUGCUUUGCUAGAGUGCAGAAGGGGCAAUCGGAAUUCUUGGUGUAGCGGUGAAAUGCGUAGAUAUCAAGAGGAACACCUGAGGUGAAGACGGUUGCUGGGCUGACACUGACGCUGAGGCGCGAAAGCCAGGGGAGCAAACGGGAUUAGAUACCCAUGUAUUCCCUGAGCGGGCUGGCAAGGCGCAU
rnacentral:rRNA from 1 species